UACGUAGGCAGCGAGCGUUGUUCGGAAUUACUGGGCGUAAAGGGCUCGUAGGCGGCCAACUAAGUCAUACGUGAAAUCCCUCGGCUUAACCGGGGAACUGCGUCUGAUACUGGAUGGCUUGAGUUCGGGAGAGGGAUGCGGAAUUCCGAGGUGUAGCGGUGAAAUGACGUAGAUAUCUGGAGGAACACCGGUGGCGAAGGCGGCAUCCUGGACCGAUACU
rnacentral:rRNA from 1 species